UGGGGAAUUUUGGACAAUGGGGGCAACCCUGAUCCAGCAAUGCCGCGUGUGUGAAGAAGGCCUUCGGGUUGUAAAGCACUUUUGUCCGGAAAGAAAACGUCGUGGUUAAUACCCGUGGCGGCUGACGGUACCGGAAGAAUAAGCACCGGCUAACUACGUGCCAGCAGCCGCGGUAAUACGUAGGGUGCAAGCGUUAAUCGGAAUUACUGGGCGUAAAGCGUGCGCAGGCGGUCCGCUAAGACAGAUGUGAAAUCCCCGGGCUUAACCUGGGAACUGCAUUUGUGACUGGCGGGCUAGAGUAUGGCAGAGGGGGGUAGAAUUCCACGUGUAGCAGUGAAAUGCGUAGAGAUGUGGAGGAAUACCGAUGGCGAAGGCAGCCCCCUGGGCCAAUACUGACGCUCAUGCACGAAAGCGUGGGGGAGCAAAACAGGAUUAGAUACCCUGGUAGUCCACGCCCUAAACGAUGUCAACUAGUUGUCGGGUCUUCAUUGACUUGGUAACGUAGCUAACGCGUGAAGUUGACCGCCUGGGAGUACGGUCGCAAGAUUAAAAACUUAAAUGAAUUNACGGGGUC
rnacentral:rRNA from 1 species